rnacentral:rRNA from 1 species
GACGAACGCUGGCGGCGUGCUUAACACAUGCAAGUCGAACGGAAAGGCCCUGCUUUUGUGGGGUGCUCGAGUGGCGAACGGGUGAGUAACACGUGAGUAACCUGCCCUUGACUUUGGGAUAACUUCAGGAAACUGGGGCUAAUACCGGAUAGGAGCUCCUGCUGCAUGGUGGGGGUUGGAAAGUUUCGGCGGUUGGGGAUGGACUCGCGGCUUAUCAGCUUGUUGGUGGGGUAGUGGCUUACCAAGGCUUUGACGGGUAGCCGGCCUGAGAGGGUGACCGGCCAAUUGGGGGCGGGAAAAGGCCCCGAACCCCCAGGGGGGGCAGGGGGGGGGAAUUUUUCAAAAGGGGGGGAGCCCGGAUGCACCAACCCCCGUGGGGGGAUGACGGCCUUGGGGUUUUAAACCGUUUUCGCCUGUGACGAAGGGUGGGGAACGGUAAUGGGGAAAGAAGCCCCGGUUAACUACGG